GGGCCGCCUCCCUGCUCUCUCCCGGCGUCUGGCCGCAGCGCCGGCUCCAGGUUUCCCCUCCCAGCGUGGGGUGGCAGCCUGGAGAGGCAUCUGCAGAAACCACGCGAGCCCCGGGGAGGAGAGCCCAUGGUGCACACAUAGGCGCGUGUCGGGGACCCCAAGCCCCUGGGCCCCGGGCACACUCGCAGAACCGCUGCAGGGACGUGGCCCAAGCUGGAAUUGCCCUGCGCACAGGCCAGGACCUUUGGGAGCAGCGACUGUCGAGAUAAGGUCAACGGCGGGCCCGCGGUGACUCAGCUCCCCUUGGCCCCGAGGAAGCUCGGCUGGCCCGGGGGGGCGGGGCCUGCGACGCUCCGCCCCCUGCUCCGGCUCCCGGAAGGCGCCCCACACCACCCCCAGCUUCCCAGAGGCGCCCAGAUUUCCCACGGGUUUUCCUGGUGGUGUCGUAACGAGCCCGGCCCUUUCGGAGCGUCCCAGGGCCCCGAGUCAGCUCCCUGUGACGGGACACAUGAGGAUCUGAGCGCCGCACGCUCCCUGACUGUGUGUGUGCGUGUGGUAAGGACAGGGCCAGACCCUCUGAGGCUUCCUCCCACCCCACUUCCUGUUUCAUCCAGAUGCCAACAUCCACGUGGACUAAUCUGCCGAGAUCAUUCCUGACCUCCAGCAUCACAAUUUCCAAACCUGCUCAGUGUUCCCCAGCUUCUCCUGCCUGACUCGCUGCAAGGUCAGAGAGCCUCUGACAUCUUAGCCUCCUACGUCACAUUAAAGGCCUCAGUGUCCCCUUUCUAGGUUCUGGGCCUCCCUCCACUCCUGCUCUUGAACCUUAACAAUGACUUUUUUUGUGUAUCGGACUGGGGAUUGAGUUACAGCCCAGCCCAUGUUUUAUUCUGAGACAGGGCCCUGCUAAAUUGCUAGUUCCAGGCUAGGCUGGAACUUGCUCUGAUCCUCCUGCUUCAGCCUCCCCAGUGUUCGGAUUACAGGCAUGCACCACCACGUCUGUCAUCAACAACCUUCUGUCCCGACUCAUUUGGAUCAUCUGGACAACCAACCACUUUCUCCAGCCCUAUGUUAGUUAAAGUCAUGCUAUUUGCUAAAACAAACACAUCCCAAACUGUGUAUCAGCUCAACCUAGUUCAUUUCCGGAUUGCAGAACGCUUCUGAGCAGGGAUGCCCGUCCUCCAGGUGAUGAUCCAGGAGCCGGGCUCCGCCAUCUCCAACGUGUGCUUUCCAGGGCUGUCAGGCCGGUGGCUUAGCAGCAGCAGAAAUUUAUUUCCCUUGGUUCAGGGGGCCAAAAGUCUGAGAUCAAGAUACCAACAUGCUCAGGCCCCGGGGGGCCCCUCCUCUGAGCUUCAGACUGCAAACUCCUCCUUGUGUCUCACUUAGGAAGAGACAAGCAGCUCGCUGGCUUCAUUCUACAGGUACAAUCUCAACCCAAAGGCUCUGCCCUUGGGUCCCAAUUACCUCCUAAUACUCCCCCUCCAAAUACUUUUACAGUGGGGGCUUGGGGAGGACACAAAAGUUCAGUCCAUAAAGGCGCAUCAGACUGGACGGAGGGGAAGGGCAGGGUGCAGAAGACACAGCUGCUGGUUCACUGCCCUGGCUGGGAGUGACAUCUCAUUCCUGGUCACCGUGCCAUCAGCAAGACAUCCGGGGCGUCCUGACUCCUCUGAAAGUCACAGGUGUGUGGGGAGUGUGGUGUUCUGGGAAGCCCUUGCUGGCCAGCCUCAGCUGCAGUGUGUGGACAGGUGGGGUGGUACUUUCGGGUGAAGUCAGUUCUCUCUGCUCCAUUCCCUUCCCUUCCCUCCACCACACCCUCCCACCAAGGCCCAGCCCAUACUACAAGUCAGUCAACCUCCCUGAUGGAAUCCUUUGUCCUGGAGAAAGCUGGAGGUGGACAUAUCGGUGCAGAUGAAGAUUUAGGACCCUGAAGCCAGCGAGGCUCUGCAUUGCUGGUACCAGGGAUCGAACUCGGGACUUUGUGCUUUCGAGGCAGGUGGCGGCACCACUGAGCUACAUCCCCGGCCUGUGGGCUCCGAUUCUCAUUUCCCACAAGUUUCUUAAUACCCCUGCUGGCCCAGCCCCUGCCCCAGCCUCACUCAGCACAGGAGAACUUAGGGGCCAGAAUGCUAAGAUGCCCCAGUGCCCCCCCCGCCCCCGGAGCAUGUCCAGCCUUGCACCCUGGCCUCUCCCCAGGCUUCAGACCCGCGUCUCCUGCUGCCUCCAGGACACUUCCACCUGGAUCCCCCAGCUCUUCCAUAGGGGACGGGUGUCAGCACCCAGCCCACCUCUCCCGUGGUGUUUUUUCCUGUGAUGGUGACACCCUCAUCCCAACUGGAAACUUGAGGGGCAUCCUUGUCUUGUUUCUCAGAUUAAACUCUGGCCGAACUUUUUUGGUUUUCUUUUUGGUGGUACUGGGGGCUACAUUCGGGUCCUUCACACUGAGCUACAUCCCCAGCCCUUUUUAUUUUUUACUUUGAGACAGAGUCCUCUUAAGUCACUAAGUUGCCCAGGCUGGGUACGAACUUGCCAUCCUCCUGUCUCAGCCUCCCAGCAUGCUGGGAUUACGUAUGUGGAGCACCAUACCCAGCUCCAGGACAUUUCUUUUUAAUUCUUUUUUUUUUUUUUUUUUUUGGUGUUGGGGAUGGAACUCAGGACCUUGCGCUUGUGAGGCAGGCUUGGUGCCACUGAGCUGAAUCCCUGGCCCUUCCAAGACAUUUCUGAAGUCGGUUUCCUCUGCUCCUUUCCUGGGUUCCCACCUCAGCGCUUGCAGUCAUGGCAGCAGCGGCCGCCUCAAGUUCUUUAAGCCUCCAGUCCGUGGCUUCUCCAGCAGCAGCCACCGUGACUGUUCUGGACCAGCCCCUCACUCAACGUUCCAGAAACACCCAGCUCUCUUCUGGAUGUGUCCACAGGACCUGGGCCCCACGAGGGGAACGCAGCUGGGCCUCCCAAGGUCCUUCUCCCCAGACCACCCUCUGCUCUCCUGGCUGUGCUGACCACCGCCCUCGACAAAGCCUUUGCAUGCCUGCCUCCAGCACCAGGGGGCAGGAAGAGCUCACGGUGGAGCUCAGCGCCUGGUACAUGGCUUAGCAUCCAGUAGGUGCUCAAUGCAUGCUCCCUGAAUAGGUGAAGAGGGGGAGAAGGUACCCGUUUGAGAGAUGGAAAACCUUUAUUUGGAUCUGCUUGCCUUAUGCCAUCCUGCCUCGUGCUGAAUGAACAUUUCCUGCUCCUGCUCAGCAGAGCCAAA